rnacentral:rRNA from 1 species
AACGAACGCUGGCGGCAGGCUUAACACAUGCAAGUCGAACGCUCGUAGCAAUACGGGAGUGGCGGACGGGUGAGUAACGCGUGGGAACGUGCCCUGAGGUACGGAAUAACUGCGGGAAACUGCAGCUAAUACCGUAUGAGCCCCGUGAGGGGGAAAGAUUUAUCGCCUUAGGAGCGGCCCGCGUCGGAUUAGCUAGUUGGUGGGGUAACGGCUUACCAAGGCUUCGAUCCGUAGCUGGUCUGAGAGGACGAUCAGCCACACUGGGACUGAGACACGGCCCAGACUCCUACGGGAGGCAGCAGUGGGGAAUCUUGCGCAAUGGGGGCAACCCUGACGCAGCCAUGCCGCGUGAAUGAUGAAGGCCUUAGGGUUGUAAAGUUCUUUUGCCCGUGACGAUGAUGACGGUAACGGGAGAAUAAGCUCCGGCUAACUUCGUGCCAGCAGACGCGGUAAAGUAGUCGUGU